rnacentral:rRNA from 1 species
UUAAGUCCGCAACGAGCGCAACCCUUAUCUUCAGUUACCAUCAUUCAGUUGGGGACUCUGGAGAUACUGCCCCGGUUAACGGGGAGGAAGGUGGGGAUGACGUCAAGUCCUCAUGGCCUUUAUAUCCAGGGCUACACACGUGCUACAAUGGUCCGUACAAAGGGUUGCGAGCCUGCGAGGGUGAGCUAAUCCCGUAAAGCGGAUCUCAGUUCGGAUUGGAGUCUGCAACUCGACUUCAUGAAGUUGGAAUCGCUAGUAAUCGUGGAUCAGAAUGUCACGGUGAAUACGUUCCCGGGCCUU